UAGAAUACUCAGUAUUUCAAGCUUUUCUUAAAACGCGGUCCUUUUGCGUUGCAUAAUAUUAUUUAUUUUUAUAAUAAUCCAAACCUCAAUCCAGGUCCAAUUAAGAAUACGCUUUCUACAUUUUAAAUGCAAAGUCGAAUAAAAAAACUGAACGAUCAAAGUGCCUUUAAGUGUUUACUUUAUUGAAGUGAACACACAUUUCUUUCAUUCGUAGUUAAACAAUAUUUUAACCAAGGCUAAUAAUGUAGUGAUGCUUAGGGGUUUUCUAUGCACUUUCCAAGAUUAUUAAAAUACUACUUACAUAGAGUAAAGUGAAACAUAAGGGAAACUUCGUGAGGAAACCUUAACUAAGUUGGAAAUGACCAAUCCACCUUGAGCAAGUGUGGUGAUUUUGCUCAGCAGAACUUACGGGCUGAUGAUAAUGAUGGGGAACCUGAUACCAAGUACCAAGUACCAAGUCAAACUAAAUAUUAUACUGACUAUAUCUAUACAUAUAAUAAAAUCGUAGAAAAGUGCUGUCUGUACAUUGAAAAUAAAAAUAAAAAAAAUAGCAGGGGUUAUUGUUAUGUCGAUGUCGAACCCAAAAAUGUAAUUAACUUUUUUUUGUCUGUUUGUCUGUUUGUCUGUUUGUCUGUUUGUCUGUUCGUCUGUGCGCGCUAAUCUCAGAAACGGCUGAUCCGAGUUGGAUGCGGUUUUCACGAAUAUAUUGUGGGAUGCUUAAAUUUACAUUUAGUGUUUGUUUCAUGUCAAUCGGUUCAUAAAUAAAAAAGUUAUGUCAAAUUAAAGAAUCACGUCGAACAUUCUAUGCUUAUACCAUUAAUCUCCGCAACUAUUUGACGGAUUUGGUUGAAAUUUGGUACAGAUAUAGUUUAGAACCUUAGAAAGGACAUAGAUAUAUUUUUAUUUCAAAAAUCAAAAAAUAAAAAUAAGAAAUAAAUUAUUUAUAAAUAAUUCUAUGUCGAUCGUUACACGACUUCGGUUCAUGUUAUUGUUUUAAUUCAUCGAAAAAAAGUAAAUAAAUAGUAAAAAGGUAUGAAAAAAAUAAUAUCAAUAUAAUUAAACUUUUAGUACAAAGAAAAUGCCCGAACGGAGUAUAAAUAAAUAAUCCAAGUUGUCUUUAUCCUCGAUAGAUCGAAAUAGAUCGCGCUAUGGUUUCGUUACAUUCAUUUGGUUGGGUAUCGGCCGAGCGCUUCGGUACUAUCGUAGAAAAAGUGUAUUAUCAGUCGUAUGAUUAUUUGUCUGUAGUGGUCCUGCUGUUUCGUAUAUUCUAAAUUGGUUUCGUUGUAUUUGUCAAUUAAUAAGUUUAUUUGUUGGGUUUUCCUGGUUUUUUGGUUAAACUAUUUAACGUAGGUUUAGUUUGAUAUCGAUUAUUAGUAGUUACUGUAGUUAGUUUUUUUAAUAAAAUUGUAAGUCUAAUUUAUAAAUUAAUUAGAUUAGAUUUAAGUCGUUUCUUUUAAAUUAUUUAGUUGAAGCUUGGUUAUUAUAGCAUAGAGGAUAGGUUGUAAUAUAGUUUCUUUUUUAAUUGUUAUAAAUUCGUAAUUCGUAGCUUUCUUUAGUUUUAAGUUAGUUUAAGUCCGUUUUUAAACUAUUUUUUCAAUGCCCUAAGUGAGUAUACAUCUAUUAAAUUCAAACGCAGAGCUCAUUAUGUUGAUUUUUGAAGAGUUCCCUGGAAUAUCUUCCACAUCUCAUUUUUGAAGAGAUCCCGCGAGAUCGGGAACUAUGUGGUUAAAACCAAAAAUUUGCCGGAAGACACUAUUCCACGCGAACGAAGUCGCGGGCAAAAGCUAU